UGUUUAUUUUACCUUGUUGCUUCGGCGAGCCUGCCUUUUGGCUGCCGGGGGACGUCUGUCCCCGGGUCCGCGCUCGCCGAAGACACCUUAGAACUCUGUCUGAAGAUUGUAGUCUGAGAUUAAAUAUAAAUUAUUUAAAACUUUCAACAACGGAUCUCUUGGUUCCGGCAUCGAUGAAGAACGCAGCGAAAUGCGAUACGUAAUGUGAAUUGCAGAAUUCAGUGAAUCAUCGAGUCUUUGAACGCACAUUGCGCCCUCUGGUAUUCCGGAGGGCAUGCCUGUCCGAGCGUCAUUGCUGCCCUCAAGCACGGCUUGUGUGUUGGGCUCCGUCCUCCUUCCGGGGGACGGGCCCGAAAGGCAGCGGCGGCACCGCGUCCGGUCCUCAAGCGUAUGGGGCUUUGUCACCCGCUUUGUAGGACUGGCCGGCGCCUGCCGAUCAACCAAACUUUUUUCCAGGUUGACCUCGGAUCAGGUAGGGAUACCCGCUGAACUUAAGCAUAUC
rnacentral:rRNA from 1 species